UCGGAGGCGCGGGGCGAGCGCGGGGGCGAGCGCGGGGGUGGAGCGUAAGCGGGAGCGGGCGUGGGGGCGGGCGCGACACGGCGAGACGCGGGCUCUUCGCGGAGCCGGAAAAAAAAGCGGCUCACAGCCGUGGUUUUCACGAGGUCCCUUCGGCCUCGUGUACCACAUGAGAGGGAGGUCCACGGUGGACCUCCUUAUAUGUAUAGAGAGAAUUGAGUUAGAAUACUAUCGAUAGCAAACGAGCUCCGUUGCCACCAAUUUGUUUUCGAUGAUAGAGCCUCCAAAUCGACGAUCGGCACUGUUGAACAUGAUCUAUACCACUUGAAGUGUUUAGAAAUCAAAUUUCAUACAUUUUCGAUAUUGUUCUCUUAUCCAUCGAGUGAACACAAAAAUGAACGGCUGAAACUGAAUAUUCUUUAAAAAAUGAUUAUAGGAGUCGUGCAAUCAAGAUCAAGAGUAUAGAUCUUGUUUUAAAUAGUUUAAAAAAUUUUCAAAUAAAAAUUCAAUUGAUUUGGAUAUCUUUACGCCGUUAAACGAGAAAACGUCUCAUAUCAACCAUUAAAAUUACAAAAUUUAUAAUCCUUUGACCAUUAGGCUAAUGAUGCCGAAAAAUUUAAAAUUUGAUUUUUAAAUACUUCAAGUGGUNAGGGAGAAGUACCCAGAUAGAAUCCCUGUAAGGGUUUUAAUUUUUCCUUUGUUUUGAUCUGCCCUAGGGUUUGUUUCUUGAUUACAUUGUUGUUCAUGUUUGCUGUUAUUGCAGUGAAAUGUUUAGUUCUUGAUUAAUCAGAAGAAGAAAUAAAUCGGUUGCGGCGAGCUUCGCCGGCGCCCGUCCGUGGUCGGAUACCGGCGAUGGUGGCGGCGCAGCUGCUGCUCCGACAGGGCAAGCCCAAGGACGAGAGCCUCGAUCUCUUCUCCGCGAUCCGGUGGAGCGAAUCGCCGACGAU
rnacentral:lncRNA from 1 species